UCCCAGCUCAGCGGUAGAGCGCGACACUAGUAAUGUCGAGGUCCUCGGUUCGAUUCCGUGUGGAG